UGGGGUGUAGCUCAGUGAUAGAGUACUUGCCUAGCAUGCAUGAGAUUUGGGUUCCAUUUCCAGCACCUCCC
rnacentral:tRNA from 1 species